rnacentral:rRNA from 1 species
CCUACGGGGUGCAGCAGUGAGGAAUCUUGGUCAAUGGGCGGGAGCCUGAACCAGCCAAGUCGCGUGAGGGCAGACGGUCCUAUGGAUUGUAAACCUCUUUAGGCGGGGAGCAAUGCCGGGCACGUGUGCCCGGAGGGAGAGUACCCGCAGAAUAAGCAUCGGCUAACUCCGUGCCAGCAGCCGCGGUAAUACGGAGGAGGCGAGCGUUAUCCGGAUUUAUUGGGUUUAAAGGGUGCGUAGGCGGAUUUUUAAGUCAGCGGUAAAAUGUCCGGGCUCAACCCGGGCCGGCCGUUGAAACUGGGGAGCUUGAGUGGGCGAGAAGUAUGCGGAAUGCGUGGUGUAGCGGUGAAAUGCAUAGAUAUCACGCAGAACUCCGAUUGCGAAGGCAGCAUACCGGCGCCCGACUGACGCUGAGGCACGAAAGCGUGGGGAUCGAACAGGAUGAGAUACCCUGGUAGUC